rnacentral:rRNA from 1 species
ACGGGGGCCCGCACAAGCGGUGGAGCAUGUGGUUUAAUUCGAUGAUACGCGAGGAACCUUACCUGGGCUCAAAUGUAUGUUGACGUAUUCUGAAAGGGAUACUUCUUCGGACAAUAUACAAGGUGCUGCAUGGUUGUCGUCAGCUCGUGCCGUGAGGUGUCGGGUUAAGUCCCAUAACGAGCGCAACCCCUAUCAUUAGUUGCCAUCAGGUCAAGCUGGGGACUCUAAUGAAACUGCCUACGCAAGUAGUGAGGAAGGUGGGGAUGACGUCAAAUCAUCAUGCCCCUUAUGACCUGGGCUACAAACGUGAUACAAUGGCUGGAACAAAGGGAUGCGAAGCAGUGAUGUGGAGCGAAACCCAUAAAAACAGUCUCAGUUCGGAUUGAAGUCUGCAACUCGACUUCAUGAAGUCGGAAUCGCUAGUAAUCGCGGAUCAGAACGCCGCGGUGAAUACGUUCUCGGGGUUU